rnacentral:rRNA from 1 species
GAUGGACGCUGGCGGCGUGCCUAAUACAUGCAAGUCGAGCGAACGGACGAGAAGCUUGCUUCUCUGAUGUUAGCGGCGGACGGGUGAGUAACACGUGGAUAACCUACCUAUAAGACUGGGAUAACUUCAGGAAACCGGAGCUAAUACCGGAUAAUAUUUUGAACCGCAUGGUUCAAAAGUGAAAGACGGUCUUGCUGUCACUUAUAGAUGGAUCCGCGCUGCAUUAGCUAGUUGGUAAGGUAACGGCUUACCAAGGCAACGAUGCAUAGCCGACCUGAGAGGGUGAUCGGCCACACUGGAACUGAGACACGGUCCAGACUCCUACGGGAGGCAGCAGUAGGGAAUCUUCCGCAAUGGGCGAAAGCCUGACGGAGCAACGCCGCGUGAGUGAUGAAGGUCUUCGGAUCGUAAAACUCUGUUAUUAGGGAAGAACAUAUGUGUAAGUAACUGUGCACAUCUUGACGGUACCUAAUCAGAAAGCCACGGCUAACUACGUGCCAGCAGCCGCGGUAAUACGUAGGUGGCAAGCGUUAUCCGGAAUUAUUGGGCGUAAAGCGCGCGUAGGCGGUUUUUUAAGUCUGAUGUGAAAGCCCACGGCUCAACCGUGGAGGGUCAUUGGAAACUGGAAAACUUGAGUGCAGAAGAGGAAAGUGGAAUUCCAUGUGUAGCGGUGAAAUGCGCAGAGAUAUGGAGGAACACCAGUGGCGAAGGCGACUUUCUGGUCUGUAACUGACGCUGAUGUGCGAAAGCGUGGGGAUCAAACAGGAUUAGAUACCCUGGUAGUCCACGCCGUAAACGAUGAGUGCUAAGUGUUAGGGGGUUUCCGCCCCUUAGUGCUGCAGCUAACGCAUUAAGCACUCCGCCUGGGGAGUACGACCGCAAGGUUGAAACUCAAAGGAAUUGACGGGGACCCGCACAAGCGGUGGAGCAUGUGGUUUAAUUCGAAGCAACGCGAAGAACCUUACCAAAUCUUGACAUCCUUUGACAACUCUAGAGAUAGAGCCUUCCCCUUCGGGGGACAAAGUGACAGGUGGUGCAUGGUUGUCGUCAGCUCGUGUCGUGAGAUGUUGGGUUAAGUCCCGCAACGAGCGCAACCCUUAAGCUUAGUUGCCAUCAUUAAGUUGGGCACUCUAAGUUGACUGCCGGUGACAAACCGGAGGAAGGUGGGGAUGACGUCAAAUCAUCAUGCCCCUUAUGAUUUGGGCUACACACGUGCUACAAUGGACAAUACAAAGGGCAGCGAGACCGCGAGGUCAAGCAAAUCCCAUAAAGUUGUUCUCAGUUCGGAUUGUAGUCUGCAACUCGACUACAUGAAGCUGGAAUCGCUAGUAAUCGUAGAUCAGCAUGCUACGGUGAAUACGUUCCCGGGUCU